AUUGUAUAUUUGAAGGAGAUCCCACAAAAUAUUCCAGUGAAUUACCAGAUACAAACGAAACAGGUUCUUCAAGUGAAGAAUCUAAAGCCAGCUCUGAUUAAAGUGUACGAUUACUACCAAACAAGUGAUCAGUCAGAGGCCGAGUAGUU